CCUACGGGAGGCUGCAGUGGGGAAUAUUGCACAAUGGGGGAAACCCUGAUGCAGCAACGCCGCGUGAGUGAUGAAGGCCUUCGGGUUGUAAAGCUCUGUCUUCAGGGACGAUAAUGACGGUACCUGAGGAGGAAGCCACGGAUAACUACGUGCCACCAGCCGCGGUCAUACGUGGGUGGCGCAGGUUGUCCGGGUUUACUGGGCGAAAAGGGAGCGGAGGCGGACUUUUAAGUGAGAUGUAAAAUACUCGGGCCCAACUUGAGUGCUGCAUUUCAAACUGGAAGUCUAGAGUGGAGGAGAGGAGAAGGAAUUCCUAGUGUAGCGGUGAAAUGCGUAGAGAUUAGGAAGAACACCAGUGGCGAAGGCGAUUCUCUGGACUGUAACUGACGCUGAGGCUCGAAAGCGUGGGGAGCAAACAGGAUUAGAUACCCCAGUAGUC
rnacentral:rRNA from 1 species